GAAAUGCGAUAAGUAAUGUGAAUUGCAGAAUUCAGUGAAUCAUCGAAUCUUUGAACGCACAUUGCGCCCGCCAGUAUUCUGGCGGGCAUGCCUGUUCGAGCGUCAUUUCAACCAUCAAGCCCCCGGCUUGUGUUGGGGACCUGCGGCUGCCCGCAGGCCCCGAAAAACAGUGGCGGGCUCGCUGUCACACCGAGCGUAGUAGCAUACAUUCUCGCUCAGGGCGUGCUGCGGGUCCCGGCCGUUAAACGACCUUCAUAACCCAAGGUUGACCUCGGAUCAGGUAGGAAGACCCGCUGAACUUAAGC
rnacentral:misc_RNA from 1 species